rnacentral:rRNA from 1 species
AUUGAACGCUGGCGGCAGGCUUAACACAUGCAAGUCGAGCGAGCGGCGGAAGGGUGAGUAAUGACUGGGAAACUGCCUGGUGGAGGGGGAUAACUACUGGAAACGGUAGCUAAUACCGCAUACCAGCAGCUGUGCCCAGUUGGGUUUAGCUAGUAGGUGGGGUAAUGGCGUACCAAGGCGACGAUCCCUAGCUGGUCUGAGAGGAUGACCAGCCACACUGGAACUGAGACACGGUCCAGACUCCUACGGGAGGCAGCAGUGGGGAAUAUUGCACAAUGGGCGCAAGCCUGAUGCAGCCAUGCCGCGUGUGUGAAGAAGGCCUUCGGGUUGUAAAGCACUUUCAGCGAGGAGGCGUUACUCGCAGAAGAAGCACCGGCUAACUCCGUGCCAGCAGCCGCGGUAAUAC